GAUGAACGCUGGCGGCGUGCCUAAUACAUGCAAGUCGAGCGAACCACUUCGGUGGUGAGCGGCGAACGGGUGAGUAACACGUAGGUCAUCUGCCCAUCAGACGGGGACAACGAUCGGAAACGGUCGCUAAUACCGGAUAGGACGAAAGUUUAAAGGUGCUUCUGGCACCGCUGAUGGAUGAGCCUGCGGCGCAUUAGCUAGUUGGUAGGGUAAAGGCCUACCAAGGCGACGAUGCGUAGCCGACCUGAGAGGGUGAACGGCCACACUGGGACUGAGACACGGCCCAGACUCCUACGGGAGGCAGCAGUAGGGAAUCUUCGGCAAUGGGCGAAAGCCUGACCGAGCAACGCCGCGUGAAUGAUGGAGGCCUUCGGGUUGUAAAAUUCUGUUAUAAGGGAAGAAUGACUUUAGUAGGAAAUGGCUAGAGUGUGACGGUACCUUAUGAGAAAGCCACGGCUAACUACGUGCCAGCAGCCGCCGUAAGAC
rnacentral:rRNA from 1 species